UCUAGGUUUCAGUUCCUCCAUUGAUGUGCCAAAAGGGAGAAAUAAUCCUACCAUGCUUGUUCAUUCCAAUAUACUUCCUAAUUUCUCCAUUGCAGGUCACAGAUGGGAGAGAGGAUACAAAUAUCAUCAUCGUCCGAGAAUCAAAUCUCAAACCUUAUGCUUAUAGUCAUCUUAUUUACUCACAUUCCAAACAUUAUAAGCAUCUUUUACUCACAUCCCAAACAUUACGCCCGUCCGUCCAUACUUCUCCAAACAAGAUAUCUUUCAACCUCCAAUGUUCCUUCUCAGAGCCUUUUUUUCACUUUUCAAGAGCUUCCCUUAUGCAACAUCAAGAGUCUGCGAAGGUGCUCGAGAAGAUGGAACAGGCUUAGCAACAAGUAUGUCGAGGGUAUAAAGUUAAUACCGAAGGAGGUGAUCUUGUUUGGAGUUUAUGUGAUGGCGACGUGAUGAUUUGGAGCUGAGUGAGUGCUUCAAUGGCCGUUAAUACCAGGAGGAAGAAUUGAGAAGGGUAUUGAGGUCAAUUAAUUAAUUAAUUAUAUUACUUAAAAUAAUUAAGAAUAAGCAUAUAUGAAAGUGAGAUCAGAGGAAGGAACUGAUUAAGAAAUGAGUAAAAGUUGACUCCAAAUACAACAACUUUCUCCGUCUCCUCCUCUGUUCUGCCAUUUUCUAUAUAUGCUUCUUUUAAUAAUAAUAAUAAUAAUAAUAAUAAUAAUUUUUUACCAAAGAUGGGGAAGCAUAUCAACAUCUUUACUUUAAUUAAAUAACAAUAUUAGCUGAAGAUUAUUUCAUGAAAGGUGAAGAUCGUCCUGGAGAAAGAUGAUGCUUAGUGAAGAUUUUCUUCUUCAAAAUUUCCAGUGAAGAAAUCACUCAGGACAUCAGAUAGGGGCCAGACUUCAUACAUAUGGAGUAAAGUGAUUAUCAUUUACAAUUUUAUGUUAAUUAAGUUAUGCAAAUUAUCUAAUGUAUCAAAAUAUUAUUAUUAUCACAGAACAGAUAUACAA